CGCAAAUAAAGAUUUAGAAGUUGAAACUCUAUUAACUAUAUAACUAAUUGAUAUAAAUCUUAACAAUCAUAAUGAGUACAAUUGCAUCAAUCUACGACUAAGCGUAAAUAGCAAGUACAUAUAAAGAUUAGGGGGAGGGGGGAAGGAUCCUAAGUUUUUUAGCCUAAAAGAUCACCCCGUGCAAUAUAACUAAUACUUCGCAACUCCCUUGGAAUAGAGGUUGCUCAUAUUAUUCAGCAGAUACAUACUAUCAUCUCCUGUUACCUCGAUUACUAUGUUAGAGUUGUUUACCUAAAGAAUUACAACACGUCAAAUAGCAAGCAAAGCAAAUAAGCCCUAUGAACAUGUUUUCCACCUAUUUAGGAAAAAAUUAUAGUAUACCCGCUUCCCUCAUUUUACUAACUCCUUAUCCGUUUAUUUAUAAAUUAUUACAGACCCAGAUAAUGAAUACAAAUAUAAAUAAUACAUAAGAAACAAUGACAGGCCCACAUCAGGCCAAAAUGAAAAUAACCCAAUAUUGUUUGGGCCUUCAACAUGUUCACUUUCACGCGAAUAGCAGGUCCAGAUCCAAACACAUCUCAAAAAGGAUAGUGCGUCCAUUUGCACAUCCCAAGGCCACAUAUGUACUCAAACCAAGCCCAACAAUUAUAGAUUAACCAUUUAACCCAAUAAAUUAAUGAGCCACACGUGAAAAUCAAUUAAUCAUCCAUGAAUCCAUACCUCAUAGGGACAUGAUUGUAUAACAUUUAGCAAGAUUCACAUAAACACAUUGGCAUUCAGAAAGCAAGAAUGACAAGAUUGAUUAAAUAAAACAUGAACUAGGAGAACCAAUAGGGCUUAAUCUUCAACAUAGGGAGUUUUACAUAGAAUACAACAUAAGUUCAUGCGUGAGAAAUUAUUCAAAGAAGGAAUGGGAGUAGCAUGCUGAACACAAUCAAACACUAGGAAAACUUUAUAGGCAUAUCCACUUAGAGUGAACACAUAUAAUGCCAAGUUUCAGAAAUCAAGCACAAGGCAUGAUCUAGAAUUAGUCAAAGGAACUUUAGAUAAGAGACUUAACAUGACAACAUGGCAGCGUCGUAAACAAGAACAAGUGGGAUACAAUAGAAUGCCUAACAUGGGAGCCUAGUGAGAGUAGCAUACCAGAAUAGGUUCAUGAGCAAAUACUUAGUUGGACGUGACAUAACUUUAACAUGCUAAAUAUCAGUGAAUACUAGAAGCAUUUAUGGUAAACAAGCAACACGUCAGUUUCAGAUCAACAGGACAUGCAAGCAUCAAACUUUGUACUAGUUGGCCACACAUAAGAGAAAAGGCUAGGCAUGAGGUUUACCAUAAGGUCUCAAACAAUACUGAAGAAUUCACAAUUGCACAAGUCAAAUGCAUAAACUAGAACCCAAAUAACAUGGAAGCAUGCCCUAGCUAACAGCACAACCCCAGAAAUGUAGCAGGUUGGGCGAUAUCGACUUAACACGAAUUGGGGGCACAUGAGUCGAUUGCCAUAAUCCAGAACAAAGUAAGGAGAAGACUCAGGGCAAGCAUCAUGUAUCAAGAUAUACAUGGCAGGCUAAACAGGUUAAAAAAGAAGUUGUUUAUGCUAAUCAUAUAUGAUAAGAAUACACCAUAAUUAGAACCUAGGCAAGUUCAGAUUCUAAAAGUAUAGAAUCACAAGAAUACUUAAAAGCAAAUAAGCUACAAACAAGAUGGGAUAGUAGGACAUUGAUUCACGAAAGUUUCAAUGUCCAAAAGCGUAGAAAUGAACAAAAGAUGAAGAAGUUUCGAAGGCAAAAGACUUACCAGUUGCAAAUUAUCAAACAAGAAAAAUAAGAAGAACAAUAUCACCGGUAUCCCAAUCAUCAAUAGAGAAAAGAGUAGCAGAAACCCAAAACCUCAGUGCAUCAGAGUUUCGAAGGGUUUCAAUUGAGCCCAGUGCAGUGCUCGCAGCCGGCCAAGGUCUCAAGUUUAGGAUAGUGAGAGUGAGAUAGUAAUAGUAUUGGUUUCGUAAAAAUGUUCCGACUACUCAGGGAAAUGAUGAAGGGGGUUUAUAUAGUGAUAAAUUAGGACGAAAAAACAAGGAAACAAUAUCAGGAAAGAAAAUAUCACAUGCAAUCUACAAUAGAACUGGUAAAAGAAGAAUUGGAGUCCAAACCUUAGUUGGAAUCAAACUCAGGGCAAAUCGUUCACAAGCCCCAAUCACGUUCGAAUCAAUGGAGAUAUACCAUAUAUAUAAGAGAUAUUUUCUCCAGUGUAUAGAACCACAAUCAUACCAGAACCAUAUAAUCAAAGUCGAAUUUGUGUGAAUCGAGCUUGCCAUAGGUGAAAUGGUAGCGAAAGUUACCAUAAAUAAGUGAUAGUAGCAAGAAAGGUAAGUAAAACCCUAAUAUGGACGCGUAUAAGGAAAGAAUAAGAAAUCUCCGUGGUUAGCUAGAGUUUUGUGUGAGAGUGGAGUUGAGAGAAUGUAGGAGUGGAUGGGUGAGGGAGAUGAUCUCUCGGGUUUGUUGUGAGAGUAUACAGAGAGUGAGGGUUCUUAAU
rnacentral:lncRNA from 1 species